ensembl:lncRNA LINC01645 long intergenic non-protein coding RNA 1645
ACAUUCCAAAGUGCCUGUGGGGAGAAACGGCGCAGCUGGGACUCUGUGCUGUGGCAGCCUAAGCGAACCUCUUCACGGGCUAAUGACAAUUGCAGGCAUUGUUGGGCUGUGUCCUAAGGUGAAUCAACAUAAAGAAAAGCCCUGGCUGCUCGUGCACUGAUAACUUCAUCUUUUCGGACAUCUGGGAACUACCGCCACAAUGUCUGGAAAAAAAAUGACUUCAAACUAAUGCAGCAGAGGCAAACCAUGGUUUGGCCAAAAAUGGAACAGAAUUUACAAGGGAAAAGGGAAGUUCCUGGAGUAAUAUGUGUAGGUCAGAUGAGGAUGGAACUGGUGAAUGAGCAGAAGAGAAGGUUGGAAGAGUGCAGUGGUGAUGACAGCCCUCCGCUGCUCCUUCCCCAGAGGAAGGAGCUCCAGUCCAUCCAAUUCCAAGCUCAUACUUCUUCCACUGUACCACACAUCUCCCUUCCACAGACUACAGUUUUUCUUCUUGUAAAGUCUUCAUUUUGUUUUAGGUAGCUUGGAUGAGGUAAAACUGCAAGCUCCCAAUGAAGCACUUCAUUAUUUUGAGCUCCACAAAGCACAUCUGCAUGUAGCCGCCUUUUCAAAUUUCUGCUAAAUCACCAGUAAGCUUAUAGUGGCUUAUAUGGUCUCGAGUUCCAAAGGACUAUGGAACUGCAUGUGAAGAUCUUGAGCCAUGAAGACAGAUGGGACAGUGAAAUUAACCUAACCAGUGACAUGCAGUUUCCUUAGACUUCUAUUUUCUCCGUGAGUGAAGCACCAACUCAGGUGCCAUGGUGUGACAGGGCUUGGCAGAACAACUCAAGGAGAGAAAAGAAUCCAAAGGCAACUUCCUUCUCAAACAAAAAUUUCCUUGGAUCCUCUCUUUCAUAAAAUAAUAAUAGUUACCAGUGUUUCCUUCUA